rnacentral:misc_RNA from 1 species
AAGGCUAUGACUCCACCGCCAACCCCACUGUGUCCAACGUGUUCUCCACAGCCGCCUUCCGCUUCGGCCAUGCCACGAUCCACCCGCUGGUGAGGAGGCUGGACGCCAGCUUCCAGGAGCACCCCGACCUGCCCGGGCUGUGGCUGCACCAGGCUUUCUUCAGCCCAUGGACAUUACUCCGUGGAGGUUACAAUGAGUGGAGGGAGUUCUGCGGCCUGCCUCGCCUGGAGACCCCCGCUGACCUGAGCACAGCCAUCGCCAGCAGGAGCGUGGCCGACAAGAUCCUGGACUUGUACAAGCAUCCUGACAACAUCGAUGUCUGGCUGGGAGGCUUAGCUGAAAACUUCCUCCCCAGGGCUCGGACAGGGCCCCUGUUUGCCUGUCUCAUUGGGAAGCAGAUGAAGGCUCUGCGGGACGGUGACUGACUCCGGGAGGCUCCCUCGGGUGACUUGGAUCUCCAUGUCGCUGGCUGCUCUGCUGAUCGGAGGCUUCGCAGGUCUCACCUCGACGGUGAUUUGCAGGUG